UUGAUUUAGUUGGAUUGAAAUUUCAAUUGUUUAAGAUUAUAACAGCAAUUUAUCCAGAAUUUCAACUCAAAUUUCACUUCUGUGUUUAUGAGAUGAAUUUGAUGCAAUUUUGUUGUUUCCAUCCUACAGGGCUGACAAAGGCGAAGAGGAAGCUACACUGCUGGGGUUUUGCAGGAAACCUCCAUAUCCUUUUCAAGUUCCAAAAUUCAAGGAAAUAACGCUAGUGUGCAUUUUGAUCUACACAAGCACCCUCGGGAAAUUGCGGGUUAGUGUGGACUUUGAUGGCCAAUCAUCCGGGAAGCUUUUGCAGCAUAACAUUGUUGCUCUUGGUGUUUAAUCUUCUGUGACAGAUUUUUAGGGCAUCCUCAACUGGCGGAUCAAAACAAAAUUAACCCAGGAUUUUAGUUAUAGAAACUCUCCAUGGAAUUACCCAAAGGACGGGAAAUUUGCAGAUAGUGAACCAGAUGAUCCACUCUUUAAUCUCAAUUCAAAGAAAUCACUCAAUAGGUUGGUAACAUAUACUCUGAUCAUACCAAUCAAUGACAUGAAACUUCAUUGGCUAAUAGCGAAACAUCAUUUGGAUUAGAGACAUUUUGAUAAAAUGUAAUAUUAUUUUAUAUGAAAUAUAAAUAAUACUUAUCAAUAUAAUGGAUAUUAUUUACUAUUUUAAUAAUUAAUAAUGUUAUUUUUGCUUAAAAAUUAAUAAUUUUAUUUAAAAUUAAUACAAUAUUAACCAUGGCAGAAGACAGGAGUUUAACUCUUCAUUUACACUAAUUUCAAAUUCAGUCCCUCAACAUUCAACAAUCCUUAUCUUUUUUAAAAAGUAAUAUCUAUAUUUAUGUAAGUAUUAGUUGUAUUUAUACAAGUAUUUUAAAAACUAAUAUUUUUUAAAUUUUAAAAAUAAUGUAUCUAAUUGAAAUUAGAUAAUGAUGAAAUUAAAUUGGUUAGUUAUAAAACUUAACUGUUUGUUUCACAUUAGAACUCUCCAUCUAGGGUGGAAGAGUACAACUAGGGUGUAACCAUGAAAGCAUUAGAUAAUCAUGAAAUUAAAUUGGUUAGCUAUAAAAGUCAACUGUUUGCUCUAUGUUAGAACACUCUGUCCACGUUGGAACGCUACAACCAGAGUGGAACCAAGUUUUCAUGAUAUUUAUGAAGAACUUAUGUUAAGUUCUCAUUUGUAACUGCGAAUUUAGUUAAGUUAUUGAAUCAGUUACUAGUAUUCAUUAAUUUAGGUAUGUAUGUAUUUGAUUUGAAGUUUUCAUUAAUAAAAUUGUAUGAAAUUUUAUAGUUUUGUUUUCCGCAAAUAUAUAACGAAAGUGUAUGAUCAAUCAGGACUACAAAAGGAUGGUAUUUGUUGAAGUUUGGCCUGCAUGCAGACAAGAAGCAGAGAAGCUGCCUGAGCCAUGCAGUUGCAGCUGAAGUUCAUGCUGCUGUUUUGUUUAGUUUUGUUACUUCAAUUGAUAUUUUGUAACUUAGUUGGAUUAGAACUAAGUUGUUAAUGUACUUGUUGUAAUUAGGUUAAGUUUGAGCUGAUAAAUCAGCUUUACCAUGUGUGCAAGUCAUGUUUUUAACAAGUUACAAUGUUAUUAAUUAGUGGGG
rnacentral:lncRNA from 1 species